UAGGGAAUUUUCCACAAUGGGCGAAAGCCUGAUGGAGCAACGCCGCGUGCAGGAUGAAGGCCUUCGGGUUGUAAACUGCUUUUAUGUAUGACGAAUAUGACGGUAGUACAUGAAUAAGGAUCGGCUAACUCCGUGCCAGCAGCCGCGGUCAUACGGAGGAUCCGAGCGUUAUCCGGAAUUACUGGGCGUAAAGAGUUGCGUAGGUGGCAGAGUAAGCAAGGCAUGAAAUCGUGUGGCUCAACCAUACAGACAUGUUUUGAACUGCUCAGCUUGAGAACGAGAUAGGUAACUGGAAUUCCCAGUGUAGGAGUGAAAUCCGUAGAUAUUGGGAGGAACACCAAUGGCGUAGGCAGGUUACUGGCUCGUUUCUGACACUAAGGCACGAAAGCGUGGGGAGCAAACGGGAUUAGAUACCCCCGUAGUCC
rnacentral:rRNA from 1 species